rnacentral:lncRNA from 1 species
AUAAGAAAAUACAUGGGUCCUCGGGCACCAAGUGUCAGGGAGGCUGAAAGGAACGUUUGAUUGAUUUUUGUCAAUGCGGUAACAACGCAAGGGACGCCAUUGUGUGAGUUGAUGAAUCAUCCAAAUUUGAGGGACCCAGUUCAAUAUCCGCCAAUAAAUUCAUGAUAUUCGGCGUUAAUUACUUCUUGGCUUUCGUUCAACACACGAAUGUCCCGGUCGUCGGGAUCCUUUCAUCCGUCAUGUAUCCAUGGGCGAACGACGUUAUCGCAAAUCCUGACAAUACAGCUUAUAUUCCCAACGUGAUGUCGGACGUCGGUGCAGGGAUGAACUUUUGGCAAAGAGUAAAGUUAACUCACACUACAGUCUAAGCGGUGCCAGUUGCGGAAGUCGAACGUCUUCACAUAGACGAGAAUAAAGCAAAAAUACGAAACUUAGGUGUUUGAUGAAGUUUUCCACUUCAAGAUGGUUCCUGAGUGUCCUUUUUACAAGCUGCGCUAGUGUUGCAUGAUCUACGCAUAUGGAUGGAUGAUGGUGUAAAUGGCAUCGUUUUAAUCUCUUUCAGAUUCGUGUUGAAAAUAGAAUCAUUUCCUGAAAGAAGUUUUGCUGCUUUUGCGCUUCUCUGGAAAAAUUCGCUCAGAUUUGUGUAUCCAUGAAAGUUGCAAUGCCGGAUGAAUU